rnacentral:rRNA from 1 species
AAUGAACGCUGGCGGCGUGCUUAACACAUGCAAGUCGAGCGCGAAAGUAACUUCGGUUGCGAGUAGAGCGGCGGACGGGUGAGUAACACGUGGAUAAUCUGCCUUGGAGUGGGGGACAACUCGGGGAAACUUGAGCUAAUACCGCAUACGUCCGGAUGCCUCGGCAUCUCGGGGAAAGAUGGCCUCUACAUGUAAGCCAUUGCUCUAAGAGGAGUCCGCGCCCGAUUAGCUAGUUGGUGGGGUAAUGGCCUACCAAGGCUGCGAUCGGUAGCCGGCCUGAGAGGGUGAUCGGCCACACUGGAACUGAGACACGGUCCAG